UGAUGAUGAUGACGAUGAAGAUGAUGAUGAUGAUGAUGAUGAUGAUGAUAUAUAUGCAUAUCAUCAUCAUCAUCAGCAUCAUUUAACAUCUACU
rnacentral:pre_miRNA from 1 species